rnacentral:lncRNA from 1 species
CACUGGUGCCUGCCUCUAGGGCAUAGUGGCUGCUUAGUGAAGAGCAUGGUUUAGGAAAAACGCCCUUAUCUUGUCUGUAAAGGCGACCUUUCAGAACUCUGCAUCAGCAGAAUUCAGCAGUUCAGUGGUUUCCAACAUCUCCUCCCAUUUUCACUUAUUUGUUGUAUAAGAACAGCCAUAGUAAAUUUUGAUUGCAGGGCGUUCAUUUGGUUUCUAUGGAUCAAGCCAAUUCUGUAGGCUGCACAAAAAAAGAGAAAUCACAAAUACAGGGACAAAUAAAAGAAAUAAUUUGGAUUCUCAAACAACGAUGGAGUCCCGAGAGGGCUGAGACGGAGGGCAGUUAAUCCUUGUAGGUGGUUAUCUAGGCUCCAUAGUCCGGGAAAGGGUGUCGACCUUGUACUGGGCGGUACCGCCGUCCACAGCAGGUCUCCAAGGUGAACAGUCACAUUGGGGCGGAGGGGAGAGUCCUGUCUCCAUCUUCCUGGGAACCUAUCAUUCCAGCCUUUUUUAAAUGGGAUGGGGCGACGGUCCUCUCUUCCGUAGCUACUUCCUGCUGGCGAGGGGCGACGAGUGCUGGGGGGCUGGACUGGACAUGGUAGGUUCCUACUAUGGAGGAUGGGAUGAAAAAAAUAAGAUUAAGCAGAGGUUGGUGAUAUAGGUUGACGCCGGUACUGUUGAAGGAAGUGUGUAGUUUUAUCUAAGUUGGUUUUAACGUUUGCUGUACUAUUGACACAUAAUUAACAGGAGCUAUUGGUAGCUGGUGGCAUCAAGUCUGACUGGGCACAUAAACCUGAAGUUCUUAGCAAUACAAAGUCUUGUCGAAAAUCACUCCCUUAAUAUUUCCUAGUAUCACCUUGGCUUGGGUGUCUGACUCACGGCUACUCCAUCCUGCCUUUUCUCUCUAAUGGCCAAUGCAGAUGCCACUGUUAAUGACUUCUGCUUUUCUAGAUAUGAGAAGAAGCAAGAAUUUGGGCCCAUAAAAAUCCUUACCUGCAAUCUAACUAUCUGAAGGCCUGUUUGGUCAGUUUUCCCUUAGCACCGAGUGCCUCACUCCUGGUCUCCGCACUGAGCUCUGCUCAGGGGCUGUUGCGGGUCGGAAGCUGCAGUGGCUCAUGUUUUACUCCAUGUAGAGGCUGAUGGCAAGGGCCAAACUCCAGUGCCCAGCGCUCCCCCACGGUCAUAAAUUCGACCAUAGUUUUGGGAGGCAUAUCAUGACCAUUUUGUCCCACGGUGCUAGGAAUGGAUAUUCCUAGAUCUGGCAAAGAUUUAGCUGACAGGCAACUCAAUGUGCUAUUACUGGACUAGGCCUUAUUAACAGUAGCCAAUCGUCUCUGGACCACCUGUCUUCCUAGUCUGUUACGGUCCAGGAAAAUAUUCCCUCUUGUUGCAUUUUCCCAUAUCUAGAGAUCACUGACCUCAUAUGAGACUGUAUUAUCAUUUCAUCAGAGACUCAGUUACAAAUUUGGCAAGGCAAGAAAUAGCAAUUUUGUGAACGCAGUUAAUAAAAAUAGUAUGUGUUCAUAAAGUUAUAAACAAAAAUUUAAGUUGAGCAUAUGGAGGUUCCUAGUCUAGGGGUCGAAUCAGAACUGUAACCACCAGCCUACGCCACAGCCACGCCAGAUCUGAGCUAUGUCUGCGAGCUACCACUGUGACCCAGAUCCUUACCCCACUGAGCGAGGCCAGGGAUCGAAACCCUCAAUCUCACGGUUCCUAGUCAGAUUCAUUAACCACUGAGCCACAACAGAAAGUCCAGUUGUUUCUUAUCUUUAAAGAGUAUUAUAUACUGGCUUUGUCCAUUCAGCCUAAUUUCUUAGUGUUAUCAGGCUGGUUAUCCCUAGAUGGUUUAAUUGUUCCCAACAAAAGGGAGCCUUUAAGUUUAAAUUAAUAUAGCCUAGCAAAGUUAUAUCUCUUGGCUGAAGUCUCACUUAUUGUUGAUUGAGCUUGAGCAACAUUAGAAGAAAAUGUAUUUAUGGUCUGGGUCAGAGCAGGUGUUAACUGGCCAGGUGAGGGGAUCCCACCUAGUAACAGCAAUAAUAAGAGCCUUGGAGGGGAGAAACCCAUCAGGGUAAAUCAGAAGUAAAACAAAUAACCAUACGAGUCAGGUGACAGUCUCGGGAUAGUGGACUGCUUCUGAUGUUGUCUUCUUCUUGUCCCUGCACUGGUGUUUUUCUUAUUAGAGCCUUGGUUUAGGGUGAGUUUGAAGUCAGUAAUUCACUCUAUAGACCAAUCCAAUGUAGAGGCCCUUCUUGAGUGAGAAAUAUAAAUUUAAGAGUUAAUUUUCUUCACUUUCUUUGUGCAUAUGGCACUUAAGAAUUCCUAAAAAGAAAGCUUUUAUAUCUUAGGUUGGGGACAACCCUUUAAAUGAUACUUUUCCAGAAUGUAUAUAUAUUCCCCUGGUUAUCAUGGGACAUCUGAUAUAUGUGCCCAGAAAUGGAUUACAGCAAUCAGCUUCAGAAACAAGCUUAGAUUAUUUUCCUUAAUAACUUGGUUAACAUUUAUAAUAAUGUAACAGCGGCAAAGAACUAUUUGGGAGGUGAGUUUCAGUCAGUAAACACAAUUUCAAUACGCAAAACUAGAAUAUGAAUCAAAACAUUCUUUUUCUUUUCUUUUCUUUUCUUUUUUUUUAUUUCUUUGGGCCGCUCCUGUGGCAUAUGGAGGUUCCCAGGCUAGGGGUCUAAUCGGAGCUGUAGCCACAGGCCUACACCAGAGCCACAGCAACGAGGGAUCCGAGCCGUAUCUGCAACCUACACCACAGCUCAGAUCCCAUGUUACUGUGGCUGUGGUUUAGGCCAGCAGCCACAGCUGAUUUAGACCCCACACCAGGGAAAUUCCAUAUGCCUCGGGUGUGGCCCUAAAACAAAAAAAUAAAAGUAAAAAAACAAAUUUUAAUUUCAAUAUUAACAUCUAAAAAUGAAUAUCAAAUACUGAGUAUUUUCCAGUUCACAUGAACCAAAAAUUUACCUUAUGUAUUUUGAGAAUUUAUGUAAGUGCUUAAUUUCCUUUAAGCCAAUUAAGUUGAGCUCUUUUAAGAAUUAAUUUUGGCAAUGCCAUACAUACAUAACACACACAAAGACAUGUACAAACAAGCAAAACAGAGACCUCAUAUUUCCCAUUUCGAAGUUUCAGCCAUGAAUAAGGUACAUCUGUAUAAAACCUGUCAGUUACAAGAGACACUGGGUUCAAACUGGGUUUCUGGCAGAUGGAAUAAAUCAUUGUCACCUGUCUAGAUGGCUAACCCCCCCUUUUAAUAAUGCUUAUGAACAAGACAUAGGACUUCUUUGUCCCUGAGAAUUCAACUUCCAACUUAGACCCUUUUCCUGAAAUUUGUAUUUCAAAAAGAUGGUGAGAGAAGGAUUUCAGAAGGUCAGGUAAGACAUUUGCAUCUCAAAGGCACGGGCUAGUUCCUAGAGGAUGACUUUGUUCCUUUAGGGUCGGAAAAAAUUUCCCUCAAUACUUACAAGCCUCUUCCCUGAGACCUUAAAGGCCAUGUCAAGUAAGACCUGGAAUGGGGUGUGUGGGCCCUGUUCUAAUUUUUGUAGUUUUCACCUGUCAGGGGAAGCCUGGCUUAUAAAAUGGAGCAUUGUACAGACCCCAGGCUCCCAGUUCAUUCGUCGGAAGGCGCGUGUCCCGGUUGGUCUUCUUCCAUGCCAGUUUCACACACCUGCCAGGAUUCCAAAAAGGUGUAGCCACUGUUUCUGGAAAGACACAAGCAUAACCUCUUCCCCAAGUUAUUAAAGGAUCAGGGUCUGUCCACGUAUUCUCCUCAGAUGUUUUCCGGUACACUAAUGCGCAGGUACCAGGAAUACGCUGGCCAUACUGUGGAAAGUAACAUAAGGUCUUUUUUUUGCCAUUUCUUGGGCUGCUCCCACAGCAUGUGGAGGUUCCCAGGCUAGGGGUCGAAUCGGAGCUGUAGCCACCGGCCUACGCCAGAGCCACAGCAACGCAGGAUCCGAGCCGCGUCUGCGACCUACACCACAGCUCAGGCAACGCCAGAUCGUUAACCCACUGAGCAAGGGCAGGGAUCAAAUCCGCAACCUCAUGGUUCUGAGUCGGAUUCAUUUCUGCUGUGCCAUGAUGGGAACUCCUACAAAGUCUUUAUUAAAGGAAAGCAAAUAGCUCCUAGUGUUGCUGGGAGGGGAGAGAAGAGCCCCCAUUCUCUAUUGUCCUAUAGGGGUUUUUAUCACUUAAAGGUGGGGAGGGUACCAACAUGGGGUUCAGAAAGAUGCAGUUUUUUUCUCCCAUUGGCCUUGCUCAAUUACCCGCAUCAGUCCUUGUCCAAUAAGGUCCUAGGGGUGGAAAUGGCUCAUAAGUCUCACAGUUUCUUUGCCCUUUUCUUCCCGUAAACUGAGUCACAGGGGAUUAGGGGCUAAUGUGCAUCUGGGCAUAGGCACACUCCCUAGAGUAAACAAGGCCUGUGGGGAUGUUACUCCCUGGAGCUCUUAAGCCACAAAUAUUAAUCACUGGCCAUAUCAAAGAAAGCCCUUGCUCCUACACCGACUACCUGCAAUAAGCAUUCUACCUCAAUUCUGCUAGAGCUUGUCCUUGGGGAUUAUAAGGGAUGUCAGUGACAUGUUAAAAUACCCCAAAUUUGACAAAAUUCAGCAAAAGCCUUACUAGCAUAAGCAGGACCAUUAUCAGUUUUAAUACGUUGUGGAAAGCCCCAAACGGCAAAAGCUUCCAAACAAUUG